rnacentral:rRNA from 1 species
GACGAACGCUGGCGGCGUGCUUAACACAUGCAAGUCGAACGGUAAGGCCCUUCGGGGUACACGAGUGGCGAACGGGUGAGUAACAAGUGGGUGAUCUGCCCUGCACUUCGGGAUAAGCCUGGGAAACGGGGUCUAAUACCGGAUAGAACUCCUGGCUUCAUGGGUGGGGGUGGAAAGCUUUUGCGGUGUGGGAUGGGCCCGCGGCCUAGCAGCUUGUUGGUGGGGUAAUGGCCUACCAAGGCGACGACGGGUAGCCGGCCUGAGAGGGUGAACGGUCACACUGGGACUGAGAUACGGCCCAGACUCCUACGGGAGGCAGCAGUGGGGAAUAUUGCACAAUGGGCGCAAGCCUGAUGCAGCGACGCCGCGUGAGGGAUGACGGCCUUCGGGUUGUAAACCUCUUUCAGCUAUGACGAAGCGCAAGUGACGGUAGUAGCAGAAGAAGGACCGGCCAACUACGUGCCAGCCGCCGCCGUAA